UACGUAGGGUGCGAGCGUUAAUCGGAAUUACUGGGCGUAAAGCGUGCGCAGGCGGUCUGUUAAGACCGAUGUGAAAUCCCCGGGCUUAACCUGGGAACUGCAUUGGUGACUGGCAGGCUUUGAGUGUGGCAGAGGGAGGUAGAAUUCCACGUGUAGCAGUGAAAUGCGUAGAGAAUGUGGAGGAAUACCGAUGGCGAAGGCAGCCUCCUGGGCCAACACUGACGCUCAUGCACGAAAGCGUGGGGAGCAAACAGG
rnacentral:rRNA from 1 species